rnacentral:rRNA from 1 species
ACGAACGCUGGCGGCGUGCCUAAUACAUGCAAGUAGAACGCUGAAGGAGGAGCUUGCUUCUCUGGAUGAGUUGCGAACGGGUGAGUAACGCGUAGGUAACCUGCCUGGUAGCGGGGGAUAACUAUUGGAAACGAUAGCUAAUACCGCAUAAGAGUAGAUGUUGCAUGACAUUUGCUUAAAAGGUGCAAUUGCAUCACUACCAGAUGGACCUGCGUUGUAUUAGCUAGUUGGUGGGGUAACGGCUCACCAAGGCGACGAUACAUAGCCGACCUGAGCGGGUGAUCGGCCACACUGGGACUGGGACACGGCCCAGACUCCUACGGGAGGCAGCAGUAGGGAAUCUUCGGCAAUGGACGGAAGUCUGACCGAGCAACGCCGCGUGAGUGAAGAAGGUUUUCGGAUCGUAAAGCUCUGUUGUAAGAGAAGAACGAGUGUGAGAGUGGAAAGUUCACACUGUGACGGUAUCUGACCAGAAAGGGCCGGCUAACUACGUG